GGGUUGUGAGGUUAAGCGACUAAGCGUACACGGUGGAUGCCCUGGCAGUCAGAGGCGAUGAAGGGCGUGCUAAUCUGCGAUAAGCGCCGGUAAGGUGAUAUGAACCGUUAUAACCGGCGAUACCCGAAUGGGGAAACCCAGUGUGAUUCGUCACACUAUCAUUAACUGAAUCCAUAGGUUAAUGAGGCGAACCGGGGGAACUGAAACAUCUAAGUACCCCGAGGAAAAGAAAUCAACCGAGAUUCCCCCAGUAGCGGCGAGCGAACGGGGAGGAGCCCAGAGCCUGAAUCAGCAUGUGUGUUAGUGGAAGCGUCUGGAAAGGCGCGCGAUACAGGGUGACAGCCCCGUACACAAAAGCGCAUGUGCUGUGAGCUCGAUGAGUAGGGCGGGACACGUGGUAUCCUGUCUGAAUAUGGGGGGACCAUCCUCCAAGGCUAAAUACUCCUGACUGACCGAUAGUGAACCAGUACCGUGAGGGAAAGGCGAAAAGAACCCCGGCGAGGGGAGUGAAAAAGAACCUGAAACCGUGUACGUACAAGCAGUGGGAGCACAGGUUUACCUGUGUGACUGCGUACCUUUUGUAUAAUGGGUCAGCGACUUAUAUUCUGUAGCAAGGUUAACCGAAUAGGGGAGCCGGAGGGAAACCGAGUCUUAACCGGGCGUUAAGUUGCAGGGUAUAGACCCGAAACCCGGUGAUCUAGCCAUGGGCAGGUUGAAGGUUGGGUAACACGUAACUGGGAGGACCGGAACCGACUAAUAGUUGGAAAAACUUAGGCGGAUGACCUGUUGGCUUGGGGGGUAGAAAAGGCCAAAUCAAACCCGGGGAGAUAGCUGGUUCUCCCCGAAAAGUCUAUUUUAGGUAGCGCCUCGUGAAUUCAGUCUCCGGGGGGUAAGAGCACUGUUUCGGCUAGGGGGUCCAGUCCCGGGCUUACCAACCCGAUGCAAACUGCGAAUACCGGAGAAUGUUAUCAACGGGUAGACACGACGGCGGGUGCUAACGUACCGUCGUAGAAGAGGGGAAACAACCCGAGACCGCCAGCUAAGGGUCCCAAAGUCAUGGGUUAAGUGGGAAAACGAAUGUCGGGAAGGCCCCAGACAAGCCAGGAUGUUGGCUUAGAAGACAGCCAUCAGUUUAAAGGAAAGACGUAAUAGCUCACUGGUCGAGUCCGGCCGUGACGCGGAAAGAUGUAACGGGGCGUAAACCAUGCACCGAAGCUGCGGCAGCGAACGUAAUCACUUAAACGCGAUUCAGCGGGUUUACGAUUGACGGAGCGAAGCGACGUCCAAAGCGUAUACAAAAGUCGAGUCGGUUUAAGGAUACGUUCGUUGGGUAGGGGAGCGUUCUGUAAGCCUGCGAAGGUGGCCUGUGAGGGUUGCUGGAGGUAUCAGAAGUGCGAAUGCUGACAUAAGUAACGAUAAAGCGGGUGAAAAGCCCGCUCGCCGGAAGACCAAGGGUUCCUGUCCAACGUUAAUCGGGGCAGGGUGAGUCGACCCCUAAGGCGAGGCCGAAAGGCGUAGUCGAUGGGAAACGGGUUAAUAUUCCCGUACUUGGUGUUACUGCGAAGGGGGGACGGAGAAGGCUAUGUUGGCCGGGCGACGGUUGUCCCGGUUUAAGCGUGUAGGUGUGUGUUCCAGGUAAAUCCGGUUCACUUUAACACUGAGGCGUGAUGACGAGGCACUACGGUGCUGAAGUAACAAAUGCCCUGCUUCCAGGAAAAGCCUCUAAGCAUCAGGUAACAUCAAAUCGUACCCCAAACCGACACAGGUGGUCAGGUAGAGAAUACCAAGGCGCUUGAGAGAACUCGGGUGAAGGAACUAGGCAAAAUGGUGCCGUAACUUCGGGAGAAGGCACGCUGACACGUAGGUGAAGUGAUUUACUCACGGAGCUGAAGUCAGUCGAAGAUACCAGCUGGCUGCAACUGUUUAUUAAAAACACAGCACUGUGCAAACACGAAAGUGGACGUAUACGGUGUGACGCCUGCCCGGUGCCGGAAGGUUAAUUGAUGGGGUCAGCGCAAGCGAAGCUCCUGAUCGAAGCCCCGGUAAACGGCGGCCGUAACUAUAACGGUCCUAAGGUAGCGAAAUUCCUUGUCGGGUAAGUUCCGACCUCGCACGAAUGGCGUAAGUGAUGGCCAGGCUGUCUCCACCCGGAGAACUCAGUGAAAAUUGAAACUACGACUGUGAAGAUGCAAGUGUACCCGCGGCAAGACGGAAAAGACCCCCGUGAACCGUUUUACUAUAGCUUGACACUGAACAUUGAGCCUUGAUGUGUAGGAGUAGGUGGGAGGCGUUUGUAAGUGUGGACGCCAGUCUGCAUGGAGCCGACCUUAGAAAUACCACCCGUUUAAUGUUUGAUGUUCUAACGUGGAACCCGUUACCCGGGUUGACGGACAGUGUCCUGGUCGGGUAGUUUGACUUGGGGCGGUCUUCCUCCUAAAGAAGUAACGGAGGAGCGACGAAGGUUUGGCUAAGUCCUUGGUCGGACAAUCGAGGGAGGUUUAGUAGCAAUGGCAUAAGCCAGCUUGACUGCGAGCGUGACGGCGCGAGCAGGUGCGAAAGCAGGUCAUAGUGAUCCGGUGGUUCUGAAUGGAAGGGCCAUCGCUCAACGGAUAAAAAGGUACUCCGGGGAUAACAGGCUGAUACCGCCCAAGAGUUCAUAUCGACGGCGGUGUUUGGCACCUCGAUGUCGGCUCAUCACAUCCUGGGGCUGAAGCAGGUCCCAAGGGUAUGGCUGUUCGCCAUUUAAAGUGGUACGCGAGCUGGGUUUAGAACGUCGUGAGACAGUUCGGUCCCUAUCUGCCGUGGGCGCUGGAGAACUGAGGGGGGCUGCUCCUAGUACGAGAGGACCGGAGUGGACGCAUCACUGGUGUUCGGGUUGUCAUGCCAAUGGCACUGCCCGGUAGCUAAAUGCGGAAGAGAUAAGUGCUGAAAGCAUCUAAGCACGAAACUUGCCCCGAGAUGAGUUCUCCCUGAGACUUAGAGUCUCCUGAAGGAACGUUGAAGACGACGACGUUGAUAGGCCGGGUGUGUAAGCGCAGCGAUGCGUUGAGCUAACCGGUACUAAUGAACCGUGAGGCUUAACCUUACAACGCCGAAG
rnacentral:rRNA from 1 species